rnacentral:rRNA from 1 species
UACGGAGGAUGCAAGUGUUAUCCGGAAUCACUGGGCGUAAAGCGUCUGUAGGUGGUUUGCUAAGUCUGUUGUUAAAGCUUGAAGCUCAACUUCAAAAAUGCAAUAGAAACUAGUAGACUUGAGUAUGGUAGGGGUAGAGGGAAUUUCCAGUGGAGCGGUGAAAUGCGCAGAUAUCAGGAGGAACACCGGUGGCGAAGGCGGGUCUCUGGGCAGUAACUGACGCUGAGGAGCGAAAGCGUGGGGAGCGAACAGG